rnacentral:lncRNA from 1 species
UCGCGUCUUCCUGCAGAUGUUCUUGGGCGACCGAUUCACCGAUCGAGCAUCUGCGUAUCGGCAUGGCUUGGUGUCUGCGUACCAGGAGCCAGGCCUCAUGGUUCUACCAACAGCGCUCUAAGUGAAGUCAAUCAAGAACCUCAUUGAAAGG